rnacentral:rRNA from 1 species
GACGGAGGAUGCAAGUGUUAUCCGGAAUCACUGGGCGUAAAGCGUCUGUAGGUGGUUUAAUAAGUCAACUGUUAAAUCUUGAAGCUCAACUUCAAAAUCGUAGUCGAAACUAUUAGACUAGAGUAUAGUAGGGGUAAAGGGAAUUUCCAGUGGAGCGGUGAAAUGCGUAGAGAUUGGAAAGAACACCGAUGGCGAGGCACUUUACUGGGCUAUUUCUGACACUCAGAGACGAAAGCUAGGGUAGCAAAUGGG